rnacentral:lncRNA from 1 species
UAACUGUAUCAUCUGAAGAAUAUUAUGUACUCUUAUUAAGUUUUUUCCAAACAGUAACUGUGUUGUCACACAAACUUAAUUAAAAAAAUAAAUUCAAGUAUAUAAGCACACAAACUUAAUUAAAAAAAUAAAUUCAAGUAUAUAAGCAAAGUUGUUCCAGAUAUACAUAACACUCCUGUUUGUGUAUUUAUUUCUUCCAUAUGGAGCACUUUCAUGUUGACUUCAACCGCACUCAUUAGAUAUAUAAUCAUGUUCUUCAACAUCAGUUAAUUGAUCACAACCAAGAUAACUAAGACACUAGUAAUUAAACAAGUAAUUAUAAUUUGCGUCUUCAAUCAUCAUCAUGGCGGUCUUCAUUGAUUUCGUCCAGAAUCACCACCCAUGUAUGGCACUGAAAAAGACAAGAACUAUAUAUUAGAAACCACUAUAAUUAUGUCCUUUACAUAACCGCCCAUGUAACUGUAUGCAAAAAUGUAAACCGAAAAGUAUGAAACAUGUUCCCAAACUUGAAAUUCUUAUGUAUUGUACAUAGUUGGAAAAUAGCAUCCACAUAGACUGGAAAAGAUUUGUCAUAUUUAUGUUGAUUAGCAAACUGUACAAGCAUAAGGAACCUCCAAAAUAAAGCUGCAAAAUCCAACAAAUUCUUUGUCCGACACAGAUAUUCUUCUAAAUUUUUACUUUAAAAUGAAAUGUUCAACACUCGUGUAAGUGUCGUACACAAAUACUCUUGAACAAAGGGAAGAAAACAUGUAAUAUAAGUGUAUGUUGAAUAGGCAUGCUUAUACAUCAGUUUUCUGAACCAAUACAUCACCUUACACUCGGUGUUAAGAAAAGAGAAAAAAAGAAAAACAUAACCAAAGAUUUGAGACAAGGCAAAUAUGUACUAUAAACAAUAAAUUUCAACUUGGGAAAAAUAUGCAACAAGAUGCAUACCAAGCAGUCUUCCCUCCUGAAAUAACCGAAACAGGAAUCUUAGGUUACAUUACACAAGAAACAUACAAAACCUGGACAAACCCCCCAUGCCUUGGUCAAUGGACUACAUGCCAACCCACACUUGUCUCGGUUGCAAAGAAAUUUCAAAUAUACCAACAAUAUGUGAUUUCAAGUAAUAGACAGGUGGGGAAAUUAAGAAUGAAAAUUACUACCAGUCCUCAAAUAUGUUUUGACUACCUUUUUUGUUUGUUUGUUUGUUUAAUUACCAUUACUUGUUUGCUUUAGUGGUGUAAAGUCUCAGACCAUGAAAUCUAAUCAUCAUUCAAGCUCAUCAUAACGAACAACCAACAAUAUCAGGUCGAUACUUAGCAUCCAUAGUCCAUCUUUUCAAUAUAUAUAUUUUUGGAAUGGAAACAAAUUUUUUAAAUCUCAUAACACAAAUGAUAUGUUUGCAUAGCAUUCCUUCCAUCUCAAACAUCUUUUUAGGCAAUUCCUUGCAAAACUAUAAACAUAGUCGAUCACAUUGAUCAGCUUGAUUCAUCAAAAGUUAAGAAGAACCAUCUUUUUAUAUAGUGUGGCCUUAAUACUAAAAGUAGAAUAACUGUCCAACCAAAUGCUACAAAACCGUGAACUCCAGUGAGACAGUGAAACAUUUAUCAUUUAUGCCCAACAAUUAUAACCAUUAUUUCUUUUUAAUCAAACUAACUAUCAUCAAUAACCAAUCAAAGGGCAACCACAUAAAAUCAGCAAUCCAAUAACAGCCCAAAUUAAAGAAAAACUCACCACAGCCCUUAUCAAUCCACGGUGAAAUCAGUUAGUUUGAUUAAGACAUCAGGAAAUUGUUAUCCACGGAAAGUAAAGCAUAUUGCUUCAAACGGUUAAAACACUUCUGUGUUUAUAAACUUACAAAUUUAUAAGGAAAAAAAAAACUAAGACAGACAACAAAGGACAUGCUCCAAACACUAACCAACUUUAGAUCAACUAGUCACAAAUAUUUAUUUGGAUGAAACAUUCUUCAGUUCACAAUGUUUAAACAUCACUACAUGUUUGAACAUUAAUGUUACUGCACAACGAUGUUCUAAAACUCAAAUCACAUAGACUAUAAAAUAUUUCUCAAGAGAUUAUUCCACAAAAAACAGAUCUUCUUGAGUUCAGUUAACAACUAAGCAUUCACUUCCACUUGUUCAAGUAUCAAUGAACCGAUACCUUUGUUCAUAAUAUAGUGACUGUGUAUAUAUGUGUAAUGCUAAUCAAGUGAUAAUUAAAGCUAAAUAACGAAUUAAACAAAAAUUAAAUGUGCCACGAUUGUUGCAGAAACAGAGGAACAAUUGUGGUGAAAACCCCAUUAAAAAUUCAUCAAAUCGCAACAUCACUUUUAAAGGGGUCACAUAAACCCUAGAAAUCAUCCUACGUCAAACCCUUACCGAAUCGAGGUGUGAAUCAAGGAGGUCUGAAAUAAAAGUCGCAAUCGAACCGAUGAGCAGCCAUGUUUUUGUAUUGGUCUGAAGUCGCAAUGGUAAUCGCAACGGCGGUGGCGGCAGUGGUAGGGAUUUCUAUAUACGGAAGAGGAUUUGGGAGGAGAAGCUCUUAUGCGACUGGGGAGGAGAUGAUGCGCGAUUGAGGAGGAGAAUGGAGAGAAGCCCUUAUGCAACUGGGGAGAGGAGAUGAUGCGCGAUUGAAGAGGAAAAGGGAGAGAAGCCGUGGUUUAUUUUUUU